GCGACCGCCUACCAUCAUCUGGUGAACGGGAGACGGCUUGCGAUUGGGACUGGACGUGAGAAUGGGAAAACGUGAAGGACCCGAACUGAAGAACGAAGGAACGACCAAAAACAACGCGCUCCACUUGGCUACAGACAAAGCGAGGUAUACCGGGACGUUACGCGGACUGAGGGCAGCGGUACUCAUUCACGAGGAUGACAUCAGUGGGAACGACGAUGCCCGUGUUAUGAGAGCGGUAGCGAAACACGCAUACAUACAUGCAGUAGAAAUGAUCCAACGCGCUCAUAUAUGGGAUAUGGCUUGUGCAUCUAAUUUGUAAAGCUAAAUAUACGUAUAGAAAUGGCAAUGUUACUAAAAGGUGUCGUCGAAUAAGACGACGUGAGGAGAAUGUCGCCGGACCGUUCGCUUUUAUUGGCCUGCACCUGAAAUUUCGCCUAUAGACAGGACAGCCCAGGGGAGGUGAUACACUCGAUGUAUGAAGUCCGCCAAUACAACAACGUAAAAGUGAGACGUGAACUGCGCUUGCAAUUUAUCCACAAACUGGACCGACGUAUGACUAGGUCACAGAGAGAGGGGCUUUAGUUUUUGCUUGUUAUUUUUUUUUCUAUUUUUCAUCUAGAAAAUCCAACGAGUUUGGAAAACUGCCAACAAAGAUUGAGUUGGUUAUAAAAUCACGAAACUUUAAGGCUCACAAGCUUUCUGGGCUAACUCCUAAUUGAUUGUUAUACAACAGCACGGCGAUGGGAACAAGCCCAAUAAUUUUUUGUGUCAA